rnacentral:lncRNA from 1 species
GUUCUUUUAUAUAUUUCUGUAGAAGAAUAUUAUGUAUGUAUAACACAGACCAAGAAACAUACAGAAACACAAAAAGAUCUUAUAGCUUAUCACUGUAAAAUUGUAGUCAAGAAACUGUAAAAUAUACUAAUAUAAAAUCACAAGUGUAUAAAAAAAGACAGUUGGAUCCAAAUUAUAUUUCUGAAAAAAUGGGACAAGUUAAGAUCAGUUUUUCAUAUUGCUAAUCUUUUUUUUUUCUUUUGCCUUUGAUAGGUAAUCUUAUGAGGGAAGUGGACCAAAUUUUGGGUAUAUGUGCAUGAGAACCUUCUUUUCAUCACCUUCCCUGGCUCCAUUUGUCCUGCUACGGUGACACCAGUCUUUUAGUCCAUACAUUUGACUUCAUGAGGAGUUUGCUAUAAUCAAUUGAAUGAAGAAGAAACAUGUGGACCUGCUUUAUAGGUAAUUCUGCAUAAUGUUCUAGCAUCACCUAAAACCGGACAGCUGGCACACUACAGCCUCAGGCUGUGGUGGCCCCAAAGGAGAGUGGUAAAAGAAAAUAUUCCCAUUUGUUAGAAUUUUGAGUAGUGUACUUCAUAGUUUUUUUUUUUCCCAGAAGGAAUGAUGCCAGGGGGAUGAAUAGUUUUGCUGGAUGGUCAUGGACUUCAAAGAAGCAUGAUUGAUAAUUGGUUGACAAGGCAAAUUGACAAUGAGGUAUGUGAGUGGACUACUUUUAAUGAGCAGAAUAUAAAAUUACUUGCGGCCUAUUUAAUUGUCAAUAAUCAGCAACCUCACCAGAAGAUGAGCUUAAUAAUCAGGUGAUCAAGAUGGUACAUUCUGUGAAUAUUCUUCAAGAUUUUUCUCUAGUCAACCAUGUCCAUUCCCAGUGGGUGCAUGAACAGUGUAGUCAUGGUGGAAGAAAUGGAGCUUAUUAGUUCAGUACUAUGAAAUUCCAUUUACUAAAUCCAAUCUGGCUACAACCACAUUUAUAUGGCCAAGCUAUCAAAAGUAUGGACUAACACUGGACCUCAGAUAGGCACUGUUCUUCAAAGGGGACUACCAACCUCCUGCUGGAAUUUGAUUACACCGGACCACUUUGAUCAUGGAGGAGACAGCACUUUGUUUUCAGUGGAAAAGACAAUUACUCUAGAUAUGAAUUUGCCUUUCCUAUUCCAAUGUUUCUGAUAAAAGCAUCACAUGUGGACUUUACAAAAUGUUUUAUUUUCUGCCAUGGAAUUCCACCCAGCAUUUCUUGUGACCAGGGCAGUCAUUUUUCAAAAAAUGAAUUGUAUCCAUUGGGCUCAUGUUGAUAGAAUUCACUAAACUUACCAUGAUUCCUGUUAACAGUUCCAUUUCAGUAGUGGGACAUGCCUCAAUUCUCAGAAGUCCUACCAUCUCUGAUUUGUCUUCCCAUGUUUGUUUACCUAAUUCCUACUUUAAAAUGUCCUUGUCCCUAAAAUCCUAGUGAUUCUGCUUCUCUGAUUGAACCCUGACUGAUAUUGAACCAUUUCUGCUCCUUUUCAGACACUACCCCUCUCUCUCAACUAUAAUCACUUUCCUAACUUCUAUCACCAUUGACUACUUUUCCUUUUAUCUUUAUAUAUAUGAAACCAUAUUGUAUAUAUCCUUUUGUGUCUCUGUUUUGCCCAACAUUAUGUUUGUGAGAUUGAACUAUGCUGCUGUUUUAUAGCAAUUGUUUACUUAUUUUGUUACUGUAGAGCAAGUGUAGGCACACUACAUCCCAUGGGUGAAAUCUUGUAUAUAUUUCGGGGUGCACAUGUGUGUGUGUUUCUGCUUGCUAGAAGUGGAAUUUCUGUGUCAUGGAGAAUACAUAAAUUUAACUCUAGCAGAUACUGUGAAACAUUUUCCAAAGUGAUUGUACCAAUUUACACUCUUACAAGGACCGUGGUAGAGUUCCAUCUGCUCCACGUGCUUGCCAAUGUUUGGUGUUGUCAGACUUAAAUUAUUUUUAAAUUAUUUUUUAAAUUCACCAUUCUAAUUUUUUAAAAGAAGUAGAGUAUAAUGCUGGUUACCAGGGGCUGGAGUGGAGGGGUUGGGACAUAUUGGUCAAAAGAUAUAACAUGUCAGUUAUACACGAGUAAUUUUUAAAAAAUCAGUGAUUCUGGUAUGGCAAUAGAGUUGUCUCAUUGAGGGUUUAAUUUAUACUGCUGUAAUGACUAAUGAAGUUGAGCAAACAGAGCAUGUAUCUGAAGCCUUGUACAUUUGUAUAUUCUUCAUAUAGUGCUUACUCAAGUGAUUUGUUGAUUUGUCUAUUUGGUUGUCAGUCUUAUUCUUGUAUUUAUAGGAUUUCUUUAUAUUCUGCUUACAAGCCUUUUGACAUAUGUGUGUAUUGUGAUUAUCUUUUCAACUGUGGCCAGCAUUUUCACUUUCCUUAUGGUACAUUUGAUAAACAACCAUUCUCAUUUUAAGUUUUUUAAUUUUACUUUUCAGUUGGUACUUUAAAAAAUCGUUGCCAACAUUAGAGAAGGUCACAAAGAUAUUUUAGUAGCUAUUUAAAAAAAUCUUUUAAUUUUAAGAUCUAUAUUCCAUAUCAUAUUGAUAUUUACAUAUGGGAUGUGCUAAAGGUCAAGAUUAAUUAUUUUUCUAUGUGAAGAAUAUACAAUAUCCUCACUUCUUAAGAGAUUUCUCCAUUUUAUUAUCUUUGUCAAAUAUCAAAUGACUAGAUAUAUGUAAAUCUGUUUCUGAACUUUCUAUUAUCUUCCAUUAGUCUAUUCAUAUUUGCAUAUAUAGCACACUUUUAAUUACUGCAAAUACAUAAAAUGUCUUGAUGUCUUAUCGCAUAAACCCACCUCUUUCUAUUUUCUUUUGAUGUUUUGGUUAUUCUUGACUGUUGCUUUUGUUUACAGAUUUUAGACUCAGCUUGCCAGUUUUCACCAAAAAACUGCUGAGAAUUUUAUUAAAUAUAUAGAUUAUUCAAAGGAGCACUGAUAGCUUUACAACAUUGAAUUGUCCAGUAUCUGAAUAGCACCACAUAUUUUAAAUUUUCAUUGAAGUAUAAAUAUAUGUAGAAAAAUGUAUAUGUCAUAUGUGUCAUGAUUGUUUAAUUUUCAACACACUCAAAAUACCAGCAUCUGUAUCAAGAAACUGCACAUAACCAGCAUGUGGUAGCCAUGAAAAUGUAUUUCACAAAUAUUUUAAUGCAAGUAACCAAAGACCCCUAUUGUUGUGUUUUAAGGUCAAUCCUGUGUUUGCAUCAAGGCCAGAUUUUCUGAAGGCUGCUGCUCCCAGUCAAUAUCUGAGAGCAGUAAGGAUUCUAAGGUAGACCUGUUCAGGGAGACAUGGAUCUUCUCUGUUGGAUAGAUAAGAUUGUGAAUACCUGACUUUAAUGGCUUUUUCUUUAAUAUAACUUUUCUUUCUUUUUUUUGAAAUUUAGUCUCGCUCUGUUAUACAGGCUGGAGUGCAGUGGUGCGAUCUCGGCUCACUGCAACCUCCACCUCCAGGGUUCAAAGGAUUCUCCUGCCUCAGUCUCCCAAAUAGCUGGGAUUACAGACAUGCCACCACACCCAGCUAAUCUUUGUAUUUUUAGUAGAGACGGUGUUUCACCAUGUUGGCCAGGUGGGUCUUGAACUCCUGACCUCAGGUGAUCCGCCCGCCUUGGCUUCCCAAAGUGCUGGGUUACAGGUGUAAGCCACUGCACCUGGCCUAAUGUAACUUUUCUUAAGCUGUAUGGAAGUCUAGAAUGAUUUUAUCAAAUCUUCCUUUGUUGUUGUGUUGUUGUUGCUGUUGUUGUUGUUGAGACAGGGUCUCACUCUGUCACCCAGGCUGAAGUGCAGUGGCACAAUCUUGGCUCACUGCAACCUCUGCCUCCCCGGCUCAAGUGAUCCUCCAGCCUCUGCCUCCCAAGUAGCAGGGACUACAGGCACGUGCCACCACACCCAGUUAGUUUUUGUAUUUUUUUGUAGAGACAGAGUCUCACUUUGUUCCCUGGGCUGCCUUUUGUUCUUUACUCAGUGUUAGAUUUACAUCAUGGUGCAGCUUCUCUCCUGUUUUCUCUCACAAUCAUUUCCCCUAAUAAAAUUCUUACACAACUAA